rnacentral:rRNA from 1 species
UACAGAGGUCUCAAGCGUUGUUCGGAUUCAUUGGGCGUAAAGGGAGCGUAGGUGGCGGGGUAAGUCAGGUGUGAAAUCUCGGGGCUCAACCCCGAAACUGCACUUGAUACUGCCUUGCUUGAGUACUGGAGAGGAGAUUGGAAUUUACGGUGUAGCAGUGAAAUGCGUAGAUAUCGUAAGGAAGACCAGUGGCGAAGGCGAAUCUCUGGACAGUUACUGACACUGAGGCUCGAAGGCCAGGGGAGCAAACGGG